AUCUUUUUGUAAUAAUUAAAAGUGAUUUCUGCUCAAUGUACUAUAAAUGGCCGCAGUAUUUUGACUGUGCAAAGGUAGCAUAAUAAUUAGUCUUAUAAUUGAAGACUGGGAUGAAAGGAUAAACUGGAAAAGCUAUUUCUUAAUUUUCUUUUAAAAUUUACUUUUUAGUAAAAAGGCUAAAAUAUUUCUUUUAGACAAGAAGACCCUAUAAAGCUUUACAUAAAAUGAUUUAAUAAAUUAAAAAAUAUGUUUUGCUGGGGCGGUGAAAAGAAAAACACUUUUAAAUUUUGUAGAUAAUAUGAUUUUUAUACCCAAAAGUUUUGAAAAUUAAAUAAGCUACUUUAGGGAUAACAGCGUUAUAUAUUUUGAAAGCUCGAAUUGACAAAUAUGUUUGCGACCUCGAUGUUGGAUUAAUUUCCCUUUGCUAUGCAAGAGUAGUAAUAGGAGGUCUGUUCGACCUUUAAAAAAUUCCA
rnacentral:rRNA from 1 species